rnacentral:misc_RNA from 1 species
GAUAAGAACGUAGUGAAAUGCGAUAAGUAAUGUGAAUUGCAGAAUUCAGUGAAUCAUCGAAUCUUUGAACGCACAUUGCGCCCCUUGGUAUUCCGAGGGGCAUGCCUGUUCGAGCGUCAUUUCAACCCCUCAAGCUUAGCUUGGUGUUGGGCUGCGCCAGCGUUGCUGGCGGGCCUUAAAAUCAGUGGCGGUGCCGUUUGGGCUCCAAGCGUAGUAGCAUCUCUCGCUCUGGAGACCCGGCGGUUGCUUGCCAGACAAUCACUAAAAAAACAAAAGGUUUGACCUCGGAUCAGGUAGGGAUACCCGCUGAACUUAAGCAUAUCAAUAAGCGGAGGA